UACGUAGGGCGCAAGCGUUGUCCGGAAUUAUUGGGCGUAAAGAGCUCGUAGGCGGCUACGGCAGUCGGGUGUGAAAGCCCGGGGCUCAACCCCGGAACGGCACCCGAUACUCUGUGGCUCGAGACCGGGAGAGGAGGGUGGAAUACCCAGUGUAGAGGUGAAAUUCGUAGAUAUUGGGUGGAACACCGGUGGCGAAAGCGGCUCUCUGGCCCGGUUCUGACGCUGAGGCGCGAAAGCGUGGGGAGCAAACAGG
rnacentral:rRNA from 1 species